ensembl:lncRNA
AUGGCUCUGUUUACAAGUUGGGACGCUGCAGUUACAAUGUCAGCCACCGAGUGGGCCUGUAAUGAACGAAGGAUUACCUGCCGCCCAACCUGUAAACUGACCUCAUUACACCCCCAUGACAUGCUCAACGGGGUCACCCCUCAAUGGCUAAGCCCCCCAUUCACAUGAAAAGAACUAGAGCACAGCUUAUCAGACCUCCCAAGUAGCUCAACACAACCCCGCUGUCUCUACCUGCACACCAAAGUAAAAUUCCUUUUCCUUCUAAAGCCAGACAAUUAAAACCACUGGGGCUUGAGGGGGAUUUUGGUCAUCUCCAGAGUAAAGGCUAUUGCUGCUCAGGAAUCAGCCUAUCAUUGUUUGAUCUUUCAGAUUAUGAAUGAUAAAGGUCAGAUCGUUCCCAGAUCUGGCCCUGUAUUGGCAUUUAAGGUUAUGAAUGGAGCCUCACUGUUCUUCUUGGUGAUUGACUUCCAUUGGUGGUUGAUUGUUGGCACCUGUCUGAUAUAAUGGCCUCUGUUGUAUGGCCAUUAUUUGAAUGUAAUAAGGUUUAACUGAGCGUGGUGAGACCAAACCAUAAGCAGUGCCCAUACUGCACAAGCUCAAGUAGUUAUAGAUUUUCAGUUCAUCCGAGGGUUUUUGGAGAAUAUUUGUAAACAUGAAUCAAUAUAAAACUGUAUGUUUUCCCUACAGUCGGGACUAUAGGUAUGAGUGGUACCAUAGGUAAGACAAAAUAAUAAUAAAUAUUAAUAAUAAUGCAAUGUUUU